AUAAGUGGCGACUUGCCUUGACUUUUCAACUAAAACAUAUAAUUCUGCAAUUUAUCGAUUGUGUUGUCAACUCAGUAGCUUGUGGAGGAAGAAACCAUGGAGAUGGAGCAGCAGUUGGAGUGGAAUGAAGCGCAGAAGAUUGUGAUAAAUGUUGACCUUGUUGCUGCAGCCAAACAGCAACUUGCGUUUCUUGCUACCAUUGAUAGGAAUCGUUGGCUCAAUGAAGGCGUUGGUUUGGAUAUUGCAAUUUAUAGGUACUAUUCGUGUUGGCUACCGUUGUUGGCAAAACACUCGGACUGCCCUUUCUUUGAAGGAUCUUUGGUUGUUCCUCUUGAUUGUGAAUGGAUUUGGCAUUGUCACAGGCUCAAUCCUAUUAGAUACAAAACUGAUUGCGAGGAAUUAUAUGGGAGGAUUCUUGACAACCAUAACGUUGUGUCUUCCGUGAAAGGAAUAUCACAAAUGGAAACAGAAGAGACUUGGAAACACUUGUAUCCAAAUGAACCCUAUGACUUGGAUUCAGCAAGAGCUGUUUCAGAUAAUAACCCUGCACAAAUUCUAAAAUCUGAAAAGUGCAGUACCUAUGAUCUGGUCUCUGCUGUUAAAAGGCAAAGCCCCUUCUUCUACCAGGUGUCUAGACCCCACAUGACCAGCGAGGUCUAUCUUGAGGGAGCGGUGGCUCGGUACAAGGGUUUCUUACACUUAAUCCGAAGAAACAAAGAAAGAUCAAUUGAUAGCUUCUCUGUUCCAACUUAUGACAUCGACCUUAUCUGGCACACUCAUCAGUUACAUCCUAUUUCUUAUUAUAAAGACCUUGUUGAUAUUAUGGGUAAGGUGUUAAAUCAUGAUGAUACAGAUUCAGACAGAACAAAAGGGAAGAAGCUGGAUACUGGGUUUUCUGGAACUACAAGGUUUUGGGAGGAGAUGUAUGGGUUAAGAUAUUGGAGGGCAGGUGCAAUGUAUAGAGGAAAUACACCAUCUCCUCUAAGAAUUUGUUCUUACCCCUCCAAUCCCGUGACCAAGAAUGCAGAUACAUUCCAUGCGGAUCACAAGAUAAUUCAUCUUCCAGAGAUGAAAGUUUUGGAAGUCAUGUUGGAGAUCAUAGGCAUAAGAAACUUACCCAAAGGCCACAAGGGAGACUUCUUUGUUUUCUUUAGCAAGUCACAGCCUGAUAGGAUCUUCAAUGCAAAAAAGAAACUUACAAUUUUGUCUGAGCGUGGGGAAAAGCAGGUUGCUUACUUCCAAUGUGAACCUUGUGGACAUCUUCUCUUGGAACUCAUGUCCCAGUCGUCUCAUGGUUUGCCAAUUUCAAAAUCUGUUGAAGUUAUAGGUUCUACUGCCCUCUCUUUAGAAGAUUUGACUUGCCCAGCUUCACAACUCACAAUGGAAAAAUGGUUGGAAGUUGUGCCAAGCACUAAAAUAGAAGCAUUGGAACCAAUCUGUGUACGAGUAGCUGUAUCAGUUACAACACCUAGUGCUGCACCACAUGUGUUUCACAUGGUUUGCUCCCGAGCAUUCUCAAAAAUUUCUUGUUUUUUCACAUUUCGUGGAAGGAUUCAGUAUGCAAAGAAUUGGACUCAUGUCACUGAUGAUGUUGGUGAUGAGAUCAUUAGCCUACAAAUGAGGAAAUCGAAGAAAUCAAGGAGAAUGAAUGGCUCUAUAUUGCAGAAGGAGUUGAUCAGCAUCAACAAGGCUGGUGAAACACAUACUCUUGCUGAGUUAGUUGGGAAAGAGUGGUUGUUGUUGGAUUCCCUCUGGUCCCUCAAAUUUCAAACUUGCAGCGGUGAUGACGGCUACCUUUUGGAGUUGGUUGAUAGUUCCAGGAUUGUAAAGUUCUUCCCUGGUCAAAAAUUGGAUUAUGAGCACAAGCACUGUGCAAAGCGAAGAAAUCAAGAUGAUUUUAUGACAGCAAUUGAAUUCUCUUCAGAGCACCCAUACGGAAAGGCACUGGCGUUGCUCGACUUAAAAUCUGGUGUUAUCAAUGUCAAAGAAGAGUGGCUAUUCUUGCCUGGGAUAAUAACAGCUUUUAUACUAGGUGAUAUUUUGAGAAAAGAAGGGUAUAGUAACUUGCUGAGCAUUGGCAACAAUUUGAAGGAUAAGAAUACUUCAACGGAAGAAACUAAUGCCAUGCCAAAUGAAUAGGACAACAGAAGUAGUCUGAACUUGUGUUGCUCAGUAGGCUGUGGCAGUUCUUGCAUUUGGUAGACAAUUGUAUUAACGCAAGAUGAAUGAUUCAACAUGGAGAGUGUUAAGAUAUGAAGAGUAGAUCAAAUUUGAAGGUUGAUUUAGCGAUUCAUAUGGAAUUUUCCUUACAGCGUCAAAUUUAAGACUAAUUCGGAAACCUGGAAACUGAAGUCCCGUUGUUACCAUGACAAGUUGGGUCCAACAAGGAGGCUUUCAAAUUGAACUCCAUUAAAAGUGAAAGGUAUGGAUUCUUCGUGCAAACAAUACAGGUUAAGUCAACGGUACAAAUAGCAUUCAUAAGAAAAGGCAUAUGCUCAAUAGAGUGCUCAACAGAAGGGGGCAUGUCAUUAAGCAGCAACAGUGACCCAAACAAAACUUUGAUCCAGGUAAAGUGAACUAUGGAAUAUGGAGCAAGUACUGCCACCAGGCAUUUGGCAUCAAAAAGAGCAAAAUUCUGAGAUAAGAAGUCUCGUAGCAGCCUCUCAAGUUGGAAGAGCUAGUUUCUCUUUUCCAUGUUGUAGGAGGUUCCACUAAAGUUCAGGUUGCAGGAGCUUCUUUUGCUGCUUCAACAUAAGGUGACUGUACACUAUCCUCAUCAGAAUCACUCCCAGAAGAACUUCCUGAAUCUGCAUAACCAUGGCAAAAGUAAAUAUAGCAUCACACUUGUUAACCAGAAUGAACUACAGAAAGAAAAAGUUAUACCACCGGAAGAAGAAUCACUGCCAGAACUUGAGCCGCUAGAGCUGCUUGGAUCCUUGUCGAUAUGCACAGGAGGAAAGUUUUCACCUGGUAUUUCCUCACCAAUAUCAACAUCCUCUUCCACAACGUCCACUUCAUUGAUUUCAGGCUUUGCAUGUUCUGGUGUUGGUGCUUUCUCAGGCGACUUAUUUAACAAAAGCAACAUGGUGAUCAGCACACAUGGCACAAUAUAGAGUUACUUAACAAAUGUAUGAAAAAAACAUAUGAUUUCUUUACCUUGUCGAGCAGUACGUCCGCUGCAUUUUCUGUGACUCCUGAUCUCUCAAUCUUGCUCAUAGACUCCUUAUGGGGAAUAACAUAUCUAUACAGUUCCCAGA